rnacentral:rRNA from 1 species
AUUGAACGCUGGCGGCAGGCCUAACACAUGCAAGUCGAACGGUAACAGGAAGAAGCUUGCUUCUUUGCUGACGAGUGGCGGACGGGUGAGUAAUGUCUGGGAAACUGCCUGAUGGAGGGGGAUAACUACUGGAAACGGUAGCUAAUACCGCAUAACGUCGCAAGACCAAAGAGGGGGACCUUCGGGCCUCUUGCCAUCGGAUGUGCCCAGAUGGGAUUAGCUAGUAGGUGGGGUAACGGCUCACCUAGGCGACGAUCCCUAGCUGGUCUGAGAGGAUGACGAGCCACACUGAAAAUAGAACCGGGUCAAGACUCGAAGGGGAGGCAGCGGGGGGAAAUUUUGGCAAAAGGGGGAAAGCCGGAGGCAGCAAUGCCGGGUUGAUAAAGAAGGCUUUCGGGUUGAAAAGUACUUUCAGCGGGGAGAAAGGGGGUAAAUUUAAACCUUUUGGCAUUGACGGUUACCGGCAAAAAAACCCCGGGUAAACCCGGG